UAUCUACAAUGAAACAACCUACUGACAAAAAUUAUCAGGCUAUGAUCAGAUUAGAUCAAAAUUUAUAGCAUCCUUUCAUUAUCAAUAAAAUCUUUCCUUAUUUGCAACUAAUGUAUUCCAUCAUAACUUUUGAUUUAAAGGAUUAAUAUUUCUAAUCAAUUCAGAGCAUCACGCUUUUGCUACGCACUCUGAUCUCAACUUACCAAAUUAUAUAAGUCUAUCAAAGAUAAAAUAUCCUUAUAUGUUAGAUCAAUCCAAGAUAGAUCCAACCUUCAAAUUUUAUAUAAGACUUAGGGCAAAAUUUUAAGUUUCUUUAUCUUUACUACCUUCGGGUAUAGCAUAUAAAAAUUAAAUCUUGAUCCACUUUCUAUGUUUGAAAUCAUUCCAUAAGUUUCAUCACUCUUCAAAAAUCCGACAUGUCUAGAAUUAAUUGGAGUUAAUCUUAAAUUUACCUUACAAUCAUUUAGAUAAUUUCUAAAUCAAUCUUCCUUUUUAAAAGAAUUAAUUCUAACUUGACAACUAAAAGAACUCAAGCCAACAUCCUUAUGAGUAGAAUCAACUUGAUUAUUUCUUAUAGAGCUCUCUUCAUCACAACCCUUA
rnacentral:lncRNA from 1 species